rfam:Trichomalopsis sarcophagae strain Alberta scaffold22313, whole genome shotgun sequence.
CAAUCGGCCCUUUUCAGGGCCACAAAAUAUUUAACACGUUGGAAU